UGGCACCCGAUCGUUGAUAUUUUUCCUUAGCAGCGCUAAUAGGAGCCACCUGGCCGAACGAGAUAAAUGACCCGGAAGCUGUACAAAACAUUGGCGAAUAAUGGAAAUAAGAUUGCUGUUUCCUUUUACAAAGAAUGGGUUUGCCUCUAUACUUUGGUUCGGGACAAAGCAAUUCCGGCGCAGUAUAUAGCGGACAGCCAAUUUUCUCGGUUAGUGUGUCAUCUUCGGGAUUAUCAAGAAUCAUCGAGCCCUCAAGAGAUUCAUAUUGCAGUUUUGUUCUGAAAAAUAAAAUAAAUUGUACUCAUUAGUUUUCUAUGUUUUCAAGAGUGUUUACGUAAAUUAAAAAGAGUAUUGCAAGAUAUUCUAAUUCUCUUGCUCGUCGUACAGCACAGCAACGCCCAGACAUCUGCAUGUUGUAAUAAAUUCAUUGCCAACACGAUCACUCAUAAACUCAAUCGUAGUAAUACACGACAUUCAGUCAGCGGUGAUCGCAACAACACCCAAAACCUAAAAUUUCAACAAGUAUUACAACAAUGCACGAAACCUCGAACUGACCCUGAUAUCAAUACUCAAACACAUACAAAUUCAACCACACAAUCACAAACUGUUGCUUUUGGUUAGAGAAGAAGAGCACGGCAACUCCAUGAAUCGUUAAGACACACUGCCAGAUACAAGGUGAAAACAUUUAACAGAAAGAAGAGAGAGAACGCUAGUCGCACCAGCUAUUUAUGUAGGGGUAAACAUACUAUACAGAAAUAAAAACACAAUUACCCCGAAUGACCUCGAAUCGAUUUAAGAAAAAAUAUGAAUAGGGCAAAGAUAAUUUGUUGAUGUUAUUUUGCAAUGUAAUAAUAAAAGAAUGGAUAAAUAAAUAAAGCGAUUGACUUCAAAACUUAAAUAAAAAA